UGUAUUUCAUUUUCAAAAUUUGGAAACCACCGCCACUUUUCUCUCUUCUCCAUUUCCUUCUCCCCUCUAACCUUAAAUAGCCUCCCUCACCACCUCGAUCAUCAUUGCACCACGUUUCCAGCAACACACCACCCUCUCCCUUUCACCCUAUCUCAGGAAAAUCACCACAGUCGCCAUGGUUGAAGCUUUGUUGGGAACAAAAACUUUGAUCUUGAAAAGGAAUGAAACAUAUUUGUUUUUCAAGUUUAGAUCUAUUUUCCGAUUAUGGACAUGGAUCUUGAUCCAGAGACCAUCGUAAUCGAUUCUAUCUUAUUCUAUCUUAUUCUAUCUUAUUCUGAUUUAGGGUUUCACCACCAAAAUGCACCCCCUGCUUCAAAUAGAUCUAAGAUGAAGAUAGAGGUAUAAAUCGACUUUUUGAACGAUUGGCAACAUCAGCCAAAACUACUCUCCUGAAAUAAACCCAAAAUCUCCAAGGAAACAUCGUGAUAGAAACGAUUUCAAGACAUAAACAUCAAUUGUGAUAUGGAUUUCUAGCGUCAAACGUCACUAUCAACCUCCGCCACCAGGUCCUUUUCUGCUUUCGAGGUUCAUAUGUGCCGCCUUAGACCAUUUAAUUGCACCGCUUGCUUUAGCUUGUUGUAUAUUAUAGCAAGGAGUAAUGAAAGUUGGAGGAGGAGUUGAUGAAUCCUUGGGAUGAAUCAAAUUUGAAAAGACCUCCGUGAUCGUUAUAUCAAAAUCUCUUUCUAAUUGGAACAACCUCUUGUAUAUGACUAUUAGGGAACUUUUUGUACCAACUGUGGGAGUUGAAUCGAAAGAAACCUUUGGAUUGCAAGUAGUCCGGGAAGAAGCUAUUUUGUAUUAGGUCUUUAGAUCUCAUUUUUUGUAGUCAGGUACUUUUUACUUAAUACUAACAUGUAAAGUUUUUUGGGUUUUCUUUACUGAUUUGUUUAUUCAACGAUUCUUCAUAUUAAUACAUGAGUAUUAAUGUUAUGUUAGGUUUAUCAAGGAAUGCUAAGCAUAAACAACUUGCAAAGGAGUUUUAUUUGUAUGUGUCUAUCUUUAAUGCGUUUAUGAUCUUGUGGACUUUUAUUUUGUUUAUGUCACGAUGACAGCUAAAAGGGACUGAAAUCAUCUAUGGUUAUUUAUUUAUUUAUUUAUCAAAUUUGUGUUGAUAUAAGUAUUUGAUGAGGAAAGGGUUUCUAAUCUGUUUUGCGCAAUGUUUUUAGAUAAAAAGGGUGUGGUUAAUAUGAUGUAAAUAUAACAAUUGUAAUAACGAUUUACUAAAGUAUUUGUUUAGCUGUCAAA